UUUUUUUUUUUUUUUUUGCAACAAACCAACUUGCAAUGAAACAAAUGGUUGUGGUAAAGGAGGGAAAAGCAAUUUCCCACUUGAAAAAAUUUCAAGUUACGCAAAACAGAACUCUUCAUCUGCUUUCAUUUUGGAAGCUCCUUGGUGGCUCAGCAGGUUAAGGAUCCCAUGUUGUCACUUCAGUGGCUUGGGUCACUGCUGCCGUGGGGGUUUGAUCCCUGGCCCGGGAAUUUCCACAUAUUGUGGGUGUGGCCACGAUUUGGAAAGCCACACAGGGUCCUCACCACCGCCCUCGUGCCGUGGUCAUCCCAGCCCCCUGUCCCUCCCCGAGCUCCAUUCGCCCAAUUGCUUACGAGGUCUCUAUGUUGGCUUCCUUAGUGCUCCUUAAAUCUCUCUGCUUCUGACCACACAGGCCCCUUUCCUCUGCUACCUCCAGGUGGACCUUUCCCUGUCUUGCUUCCGUGGUGAUGGAGCUGGCUCCUCCCCAGGCUCUCUCUGGGCUCGGUCCUCCAGGCAGCAGGGUACACAGCAGCCCCGUCUCUGCAGCACCCUUCACUGCCUCCUGCCACUCCCCAGCUCAGAACCUUCAGUGACGUCCUCUGAUUUCCAGAGCACACAGUGGCUCUGUGCACAGCUCAUCAUGCCCACCAGCCUGCCCAGUCUCAUAGCCCCUGGCCCUGCCCCUCCCCUUCCACCACGUACAACAGUUGAAGGUCCCCAAACAUCCGCUUGGUGCAGAGCCUUCGCUGUGCUGGCCGCAGCUUGGAAUGCUCUUCCCUCCCACCCUAACCAUUUUCCCCGGUAGACUCCUGCCUCUCAAGAGUCGGCUGAGCCUCCUUCUGCAAGGAGUUUUCACUUUACUGGCUCCUCAACACCCAGUCCCUUUCAAGCACCUAUAUCCCUGUGUCUUUGUCUAGUGUUGGUUAUUUGUGUGUCUGUCCAUCUGUCUGUCUCCCACACUGCUCUGGCUUCCUUGAGGAUUAGGAACUGUCACAUUUGUGGGGUUUUUUGUUCGUUUGUUUGUAUUUUCUAGGGCCGCUCCCUCGGCAUAUGGAGGUUCCCAGGCUAGGGGUCCAAUCGGCCAACCUAUGCCAGAGCCACAGCAACACGGGAUCCAAGCUGCAUCUGCAAUCUACACCACAGCUCACAGCAACAUCAGAUCCUUAACCCACUGAGUAAGGCCAGGGAUUGAACCAGCAACCUCAUGGUUCGUAAUCGGAUUCAUUAACCACUGCGGCACGAUGGGAACUCCUUUUUUGUUUUUUGUUUUGUUUUUUUUUCUUUGGUUUUUUUGUUUCUUUUGUUUGUUUGCAUUUUCUAAGGAACUGUCACCUUUGUGCCCCAACACCGCUCACAUCACCUGACCUUUCCUGGGCAUUCAGUGAAUGAGGUAAGGAAUGAAUGGACAGUAUCGAUCCCUUACAUUUGCCCAGCUCUCCAUGUUUUUUCAAAGCAUCGUGUAUGUGUUUGAGAUUGGAAGCUGUGCCCCAAACCGUCUUCAAAGUACCACCUCCACCUGCCACAUAUUAAUUUAUCCUCUGGGCAAGUUUGGGAGCGAGGAGGAGUGUAUUCCUCCUCCUUUCCUGGUAGUGAAAGUGGGAUGCGUGAUAAUGGGGAGAGCCUGCUGCUCAAAGCCAUGCAGCUGGCACGUGGGAGGCCCAGGAGGCAGACUGCCUGUGUUCUUGUCCCUCGCCACCUCAUGUCCCCACCGGUGGCACUGGCCUGGCUCCCCAGUCAGCCCUGGGUGGCUCCCCACAAAGAAAUGGAGAUGGUGAGACAUUUAAAACACUGCCUCCUCCAUUUUCAGCCACGCUUUCAGAAGGCGAGGGAGGGGAAACCAGGAGAUCUGACGUGGAACCCGCAGCUCUGAUGAGUUGAGGAUGAGCUACUCAAGGGUCUUCUGUCUUCCACAGCCAACAGCUUCCAGAGACAAAGCAGAUUUGGUGUGUGCAGAUUUCCCCUCUCCGAAGGGAGUACAAACUCACUGAUCCCUUCCACUUGAACCAGGCCUCUGCUGCCAGGGGAUCCUUUCCAGAACGUAACCACUGGAGGGAGAGCAGAGCCACCUGUCUCCUGACUCCCUGGCCCACAGACCACAUCCCCAGACUGUGCACAAACCGUGACGGAAACCGUGGCUACUGGCUCUGCCCAUCCAGCCAGAUGUGGGAGAAAGACAAGAGGAGGGACUUGGUCUGGCACCCCUGGGUGCCAUCCUCAGCUGGUCUUUGCGUUCAUUCUGACCCAGACGGCGAUCCUGGGCCCCCCUCUACUCAAGCAGGUGUUGGAGGAGGUCACUGGGAGGGCGUGGUCAUCAAAGGCUCCUCCCCUCCUCCUGGCCCACGUAAGGUGAGUUCUGCUUGCCUCUCCCCACUAGAAGCUGCCCAAGGACCCAGCCUUGAAGUCAUAAGCUGCUCUGUAGACCCUCUGGAAGGUGUAUGUGUUUGUACCCAGUCACAGCCUCUAUAUAAACCUUUCAGAUUCUGACUGGGAGAGGGCACCAAGACCUGCUCAUCUUGCACCUGCCUAGGACAGGACAGGCUUAUGUGUAAGGUCCCUUGCUUAUGAAACCUGCCAGCUACCAAUUUAAUAUCUGCUGCUUUCCUGUCUCUCCCUCCCUUCUGCGUUCAGGGAACCCAGUUCCGAUUAUACCCAGGGAAGUUCCCGAGGUUUUAAAUUAGCAGCAGGGCCAGAGGGGUAUCUUCAAGAUCUUCUUCCCAGGAGAAUGCGGGGGGUGGGGGGCAUGGAGGGCAGGUUGUAAGGGUUGGGGGAUGCUGAAGGGAGUUCUUCACCCACCUCAGAUGCCUCUGCAAGUUAUAGUAUGGAGCCCUGGGAUAGACACUCUCCCUACAAGGACCAGAAAGUCACAUAGCUGAGCUCAACAAACUUUUGUUUUCUUUUUGGCCAUACCCUGGGCAUGCAGAAGUUCCCAGGCUGGGGACUGAACCUGUGCCACAGCAGUGACAAUGCUGGAUCCUUAAUUGGCUAGGCCACCAGGGAACUCCUCAACCAGCUUUUAACAGGCACCUAUGAUGUGCCAGCUAAUUAUGCCAAGAGCCAGUCAGAUAGGGGUAAUUUUUUUUUUUUUUUUGUCUUUUUACCUUUUCUAGGGCCGCUCCCGCAGCAUAUGGAGUUCCCAGGCUAGGAGUCUAAUCGGAGCUGUAGCCUCUGGUCUACACCAGAGCCAUAGCAACACGAGAUCCAAGCCACGUCUGCGACUUACACCACAACUCACGGCAACACCAGAUUGUUAACCCACUGAUCAAGACCAGGAAUCGAACCCGCAACUGCAUGGUUCCUAGUCGGAUUCAUUAACCACUGCGCCACAAUGGGAACUCCCAGAUCCCAGAUAGGGAUAAAUUUGACCUGGCUUCUCACCAGGAAAAAAAAAAAAAA
rnacentral:lncRNA from 1 species